rnacentral:rRNA from 1 species
CCUACGGGAGGCAGCAGUGAGGAAUAUUGGUCAAUGGACGAGAGUCUGAACCAGCCAAGUAGCGUGAAGGAUGACUGCCCUAUGGGUUGUAAACUUCUUUUAUAUGGGAAUAAAACGUUCCACGUGUGGGAUUUUGUAUGUACUUUAUGAAUAAGGAUCGGCUAACUCCGUGCCAGCAGCCGCGGUAAUACGGAGGAUCCGAGCGUUAUCCGGAUUUAUUGGGUUUAAAGGGAGCGUAGGUGGGUUGUUAAGUCAGUUGUGAAAGUUUGCGGCUCAACCGUAAAAUUGCAAUUGAUACUGGCAGUCUUGAGUACAGUUGAGGUGGGCGGAAUUCGUGGUGUAGCGGUGAAAUGCUUAGAUAUCACGAAGAACUCCGAUUGCGAAGGCAGUUCACUAGACUGCAACUGACACUGAGGCUCGAAAGUGUGGGUAUCAAACAGGAUUAGAUACCCGUGUAGUC